rnacentral:rRNA from 1 species
UUGAGAGGCAUCUCUUAAAUAUCAAAGGUGAGCCAGUACAGGAUGGACCCGCGUCUGAUUAGCUAGUUGGUAAGGUAACGGCUUACCAAGGCGACGAUCAGUAGCCGACCUGAGAGGGUGAUCGGCCACAUUGGAACUGAGACACGGUCCAAACUCCUACGGGAGGCAGCAGUGGGGAAUAUUGCACAAUGGGCGAAAGCCUGAUGCAGCAACGCCGCGUGAGUGAUGAAGGCCUUCGGGUCGUAAAACUCUGUCCUCAAGGAAGAUAAUGACGGUACUUGAGGAGGAAGCCCCGGCUAACUACGUGCCAGCAGCCGCGGUAAUACGUAGGGGGCUAGCGUUAUCCGGA